rnacentral:rRNA from 1 species
AGUGGCGAACGGGUGAGUAAUGCAUCGGAACGUACCGUGUAGUGGGGGAUAACGUAGCGAAAGUUACGCUAAUACCGCAUACGCCCUGAGGGGGAAAGUGGGGGACCGCAAGGCCUCACGCUAUAUGAGCGGCCGAUGUCGGAUUAGCUAGUUGGUAGGGUAAAGGCCUACCAAGGCGACGAUCCGUAGCGGGUCUGAGAGGAUGAUCCGCCACACUGGGACUGAGACACGGCCCAGACUCCUACGGGAGGCAGCAGUGGGGAAUUUUGGACAAUGGGCGCAAGCCUGAUCCAGCCAUGCCGCGUGAGUGAAGAAGGCCUUCGGGUUGUAAAGCUCUUUCAGACGGAAAGAAAUCUCUCGGGAUAACACCCUGGGAGGAUGACGGUACCGUAAGAAUAAGCACCGGCUAACUACGUGCCAGCAGCCGCGGUAAUACGUAGGGUGCGAGCGUUAAUCGGAAUUACUGGGCGUAAAGCGUGCGCAGGCGGUUAUGUAAGACAGAUGUGAAAUCCCCGGGCUCAACCUGGGAACUGCAUUAGUGACUGCAUAGCUGGAGUACGGCAGAAAGGGGGAUGGAAUUCCGCGUGUAGCAGUGAAAUGCGUAGAUUAUGCGGAGAAACACGAUGGCGACGCAUCCCCUGGGCCUGUACUGACGCUCAUGCACGAAAGCGUG